UCCUAACUGAGAGAAAAAGAAAAAAAAAUGUAAGAAAAAGAAAAGGAGGAGAAAAAAGAGGUGCAAUUUUAUAUUUGAGAAACGAAUAAACGAGACUUGCGUUAAGACACUCCCAAUAAAAUUCAAAGUGAUCUCUAACGCAGCGGCCAAAUUUUGUUGAAAGUCAAAGUUGCUAUUGACUUGAUAGGGUUGAGGUUUUGAGCUCUCUGCGUUUUUGCAAAUUGAGAUCUGAAAAUGGCAGGGGGAAUCGCAGCGGCAUCGUCACGUUUCUCGAAGCUUCCGAGGCCUCAAUCCUCCGAUGUAAAAGCGGUCGCUAUGUGGGGCGUCGCCGCCGGCACUGGCGCUCUUUGGUUCAUCCAGCCAUUUGAUUGGAUAAAGAAGACAUUUCUGGAGAAGCCUGUGACAAAUGAAGGCCAGUAAUUUGAAGAAGCUGGAUCUGGAGAGGAUUCACACAACAAAAGCAUUUUUCAUCUUCAAUUUAAGGAGAUUCUAAUUUCCAUCUGUUUCAAUAAUUGCUUGUUUUGUAAGCUAACAGAACAGAUUAUGAAUCUGUUUUGUUGAAACAUUUUGUUUGCCAUUUGCCUUGUGAUAUUAAUGCAAGUUCCAGUUUAGCUCUUCAAUUUCUUCA